AACGAACGCUGGCGGCAUGCCUAACACAUGCGAGUCGAACGAGACCUUCGGGUCUAGUGGCGCACGGGUGCGUAACGCGUGGGAACCUGCCCUUAGGUUCGGAAUAACUCCCCGAAAGGGGUGCUAAUACCGGAUAAUGUCUUCGGACCAAAGAUUUAUCGCCUUUGGAUGGGCCCGCGUUGGAUUAGCUAGUUGGUAGGGUAAAAGCCUACCAAGGCGACGAUCCAUAGCUGGUCUGAGAGGAUGAUCAGCCACACUGGGACUGAGACACGGCCCAGACUCCUCCGGGGGGCAGCAGUGGGGAAUAUUGGACAAUGGGCGAAAGCCUGAUCCAGCAAUGCCGCGUGGGUGAUGAAGGCCUUAGGGUUGUAAAGCUCUUUUACCCGGGAUGAUAAUGACAGUCCCGGGGGAAUAAGCCCCGGCUACUUCCGU
rnacentral:rRNA from 1 species